CCACGCCGUAAACGAUGUCGACUUGGAGGUUGUGCCCUUGAGGCGUGGCUUCCGGAGCUAACGCGUUAAGUCGACCGCCUGGGGAGUACGGCCGCAAGGUUAAAACUCAAAUGAAUUGACGGGGGCCCGCACAAGCGGUGGAGCAUGUGGUUUAAUUCGAUGCAACGCGAAGAACCUUACCUACUCUUGACAUCCAGAGAAGUUUGCAGAGAUGCGAACGUGCCUUCGGGAACUCUGAGACAGGUGCUGCAUGGCUGU
rnacentral:rRNA from 1 species